UUAGUAUUUCCUUGAGGGCAGGAAUAUAGUUAGCAUCGUUAAGCAUGAAAUUGAAAAGGCCAGACACGAUUUUUUUUAGAACUUUUAAUUUAUUGGGCACCGUUUCCUUGAAAGCAAACAAUUAGACUCAGUCCUGGACCGUCACAGUUUAAACAGAGAUAUUAGAGACGUGUCAGUCAGUAGAUAGUAGACAGAUUUUUUUUGCUAAGAGUGUGGGUGAGCUGAAUUUUUGACACCUUGUGAUACAGAUAUGUUAUUCUGGGUAACCAUCGUGAUGCUUGGACGUCGCCGGGUCGCGCUGCCCCAGGCGGAGGGAAAGUACCGAUGUUGAGGACAUGUUUCUUGCUCAUAGAAGGAUUGCUUGGUCAAUGGUUAGCUUGCUCAGAGUCUUUGAAUCAAAUCAGUGUGCUCAUUUCCUUGCAUGUUGACUCCUUUUGUUUUUUUUAACUUAUUUUGACUUCAAUAAUUAGAUGUGUACACUAUGACUACUAUUCCAAAUACAUUCAACUCCUGAGCAGAUUAACAUGGGGUUGGCCUAAUUAUUGGAACAAGUUGUCCUUAAGUAUCUAAUAUUUUUUCCCUGUCUAGCCUAUUUUUUGUGAUAGAGUAUGUGUGAUUUACGAUUGUCAUGGAUGUAAAAAUAACCUUUAGGGCAUACCACUCGUUUCUUUGCUAGUCUUGAUUCUGUUUCGUGUUCUUUCUAAUGCUAUAUAUCUGUAACAUUUAUCUACAUUGAUAAUUGAGUGGAUCCUUUGUUUUUUGGAAAAUAAGUCUGUAGAAUAUUUACUGUUAUUAUUUACUUUUUUUUAAUUCAGUUGGCCAAUGGAAGGCCAGGUUCCUCCACGAAGCGGAGGCCCAUCGCCGGUAGGCUUGGGCCGGAGCGAGGGGUCGAUUAGUUUAUGGUGACGAUGACCUCCGGGUCUUUUAUAGAUAGAUAGAUUAAUUUGGUGACUUCAUUACUUAACUGACAAAUCAUCAGACAUAAUUACAAGAACAUCAUUCGGGAUAGAGCUUGUGAUAAGUGCCUCCCCUUGGACACACUCGUAAUCCAAAGCAGCCAAAACAUGAGCAGAACAUGAGCAGCUCUGUUUCUAGCCCUACAUGGCUGCUGCAGCGGUGCAUGAUAUUGAGAAGAAAAGGUUGGAGUCUGAAUUGUAGGUUCUCAAGGGGAAGGUUGGCCGGAUCUAGGCCGAGAAGGAUGAUUCUUUGUACACGAUCCAUGCUAAAGAUGCUGGGGUUGGAGAGUUGAGGGAUGAAUUGAAGAAGCUCCACGGUUCCAUGGCUGAUCUGCGUACUCUCUGCAGUGAUCUUGAGGGGAAGUCUUCCUCCCUGCAAGAUGAGAGGGAUUCAGUUCUGAAAGCACUCGAAAAGCAGAAAACCGAGGCAGAUGAGCUGAGGUUGACUCUUAGGGAGCUUCAUGUCUGUAAUGGUGUGUAUAUAUAUGUAGAGGUGCAUGUGUGAUUGCACUGAAUAGACAUGAGUCUGUGUAUAUACAAGUCAGUUUCUUA